UACGUAGGGAGCAAGCGUUGUCCGGAAUCAUUGGGCGUAAAGAGCGCGUAGGCGGUCCGGUAAGUCGGUUGUGAAAACUGGGGGCUCAACCCUCAGAGGCCGACCGAUACUGCCGGGCUAGAGUCCGGAAGAGGCGAGUGGAAUUCCUAGUGUAGAGGUGAAAUUCGUAGAUAUUAGGAAGAACACCAGUGGCGAAGGCGGCUCACUGGCCCGGUACUGACGCUGAGGCGCGAAAGCGUGGGAGCAAACAGG
rnacentral:rRNA from 1 species